rnacentral:rRNA from 1 species
UAAUACAGAGGGUGCAAGCGUUAAUCGGAAUUACUGGGCGUAAAGCGUGCGUAGGCGGUUUCGUAAGUCGGAUGUGAAAGCCCCGGGCUCAACCUGGGAAUUGCAUUCGAGACUGCGAAGCUGGAGUGCGGAAGAGGGAAGUGGAAUUUCCGGUGUAGCGGUGAAAUGCGUAGAUAUCGGAAGGAACAUCAGUGGCGAAAGCGACUUCCUGGUCCAGCACUGACGCUCAGGCACGAAAGCGUGGGGAGCAAACAGGAUUAGAUACCCUGGUAGUCCACGCCAUAAACGAUGAGAACUAGAUGUUGAGAGGGUAAGCCUCCCAGUGUCGAAGCUAACGCGAUAAGUUCUCCGCCUGGGGAGUACGGCCGCAAGGUUGAAACUUAAAGGAAUUGACGG